GACGAACGCUGGCGGCGUGCCUAAUACAUGCAAGUAGAACGCUGAAGGAGGAGCUUGCUCUUCUGGAUGAGUUGCGAACGGGUGAGUAACGCGUAGGUAACCUGCCUGGUAGCGGGGGAUAACUAUUGGAAACGAUAGCUAAUACCGCAUAAGAGUAGAUGUUGCAUGACAUUUACUUAAAAGGUGCAAUUGCGGCACUACGAGAUGUACCUGCGUUGUAUGAGCUCGUGGGUGGGGUAACGGCUUACCAAGGCGACGAUGGGUAGCCGGCCUGAGAGGGUGACCGGCCACAGUGGGACUGAGGUAGGGCCCAGAGGGCUACUGGGGCCAGCAGUGGGAGAUAUAGCACAAAGGGCGGCAGGCUGGUAGAACAGCGCCGCGUGCUGAAUGACGGUUUUCGGGUUAUAAACCGCUUUCGCCUGGGACGAAGAGUGAGUGACGGUAACUUGCAAAGAAGCGCCGGCUAACUACGUG
rnacentral:rRNA from 1 species